AUUUUCUUCUCCAGCAUGUCCUGAAAUCAAAGUGAACGAAGCUAAUGAAGGCUUCUCAGCAAUCCAAGAGAAACAAAGCAAAAUGUGGCAUUUUGAGACCAGAGAGUACAACUUUGUCUGAGGACAAUAAUUCUGAUAGUAAUGUUGAAGAUGUGGUUGAAACAUUUCCCAAACCAUCACCCUGGUUUGAGGGCAUCUGUCAUUCUGCCUUCCCAUUGCCUGAGCCUGUUUCAAAACUUCUCAAGUCUGUAGCAGGCCUUGGUCAUACAAAGCAGAGUAUCUCUGAGAGCCUUCCACGGAAGUAUGUGGAUCAUUUACCUGGAACUGCUGGUCAAAGAGGAAAAAAUACAUCAAUUGGACAAAUAGAAGGUAAGAACUGUAUUUUACAGGAAAAUCAUUUGACAGAACGUUGAUUGAAAAUGGGAAUGCUGAUA